rnacentral:lncRNA from 1 species
GUGGCAUCCUUGCAAUUUCAGCAAAGGGUCAGCGCAAGUCCAAAGAUGGAUAGAAAAGACAAAGGAUGAUCGACAGACCGAGAUGUACCUAAAUGGGGAAUCGAACUUAGGCCGGCAUCGUACAGAGCUUGCUCGGUGAUGAGCUCCCUCUGCUUCGACACCGACACAUCCUUCAAUCGGUGAAAGUCCUCUCGAUCUCCAUCCUCCACCCG